GGACUACCCGGGUUUCUAAUCCUGUUUGCUCCCCACGCUUUCGCGCAUCAGCGUCAGUACCGGUCCAGGUAGCCGCCUUCGCCACUGGUGUUCCUCCCAAUAUCUACGCAUUUCACCGCUACACUGGGAAUUCCGCUACCCCCUCCCGGCCUCAAGCCGGGUAGUUUCAAAGGCAGUUCCUCAGUUGAGCCGAGGGAUUUCACCUUUGACUUACCCAGCCGCCUACGCGCCCUUUACGCCCAAUAAUUCCGAAUAACGCUAGCCCCCUCCGUAUUACCGCGGCUGCUGGCAC
rnacentral:rRNA from 1 species